CAAUAAAUCAAAAAAUUAGAGGCAGCCCUUUCCGAGGAGCCGGCAAGAUGGCGGAAGUGGAGCAGAAGAAGAAGAGGACCUUCCGCAAGUUGACCUACCGUGGGAUGGACCUGGACCAGCUGCUGGACAUGUCCUACAAGCAGCUGAUGCAGCUGUAUAGCAUGCAGCAGUGCCGGCAGCUGAACUGAGGGCUGUGGCGAAAGCAGCACUCGCUGCUCAAGCAGCGGUGCAAGGCCAAGAAGGAGGCACCCCUCAUGGAGAAGCCCGAGGUGGUGAAGACCCACCUGCAUGACAUGAUCAUCCUGCCCGAGAUGGUGGGCAGCAUGGUGGCCAUGUACAACAGCAAGACCUUCAGCCAGGUGGAGAUCAAGCCGGAGAUGAUCGGCCACUACCUGGGCAAGUUCUCCAUCAUCUACAAGCCUGUGAAGCACUGGCAGCCUGGCAUCAGUUCCACCCACUCCUCCCGCUUCAUCCCACUCAAGUAGUCACUGCCAAUAAAGAUACGCCUGUCCAG